UGGCAGGUUCUGAUUUUAAUC
ensembl:piRNA 21ur-3250 ncRNA